UUGAUAAGAGACUUAUAAGCAUUGUGAGUGCAGGCUUAUAAUGCUGUCAAAUUCUCUACGACGGCACUGCCGAUCAUCCAUUUGUCGUACUUUGUCUCGCUCUUUAAAUUUUAUGUAACACAAUUCUUGCUUUGGGCAAGCGAUAUAAAUAACAAUGGCUUCGAUUAUUUAUAAAUUCUGUAUGCUUGCUGUAGUUGUACUCGGACUAAGUCUCAGUCAAACUUUCUCGUUGACCUGCUACCACAAGCUGCAAUACACCGAUGAAGUCCAAGAGGCAUGCGCCAAUAACGAAACAAUAAUCGGUCCUCCAGAUCAGUUCAAUCUCAGUGUAGCGUACCGUCCAGCUUGCUACAAGGAAACAAUCACCGGAAAUGGCACAACAAUAAUUCUGAAGGGCUGCGUAAACUGGGGCGCCGCAAUGACAUGCGGGCCUACUAUAACAACCGAUAGCGGCACAACCGGACAAGCCUGCUACUGCGAUACGGAUUACUGCAACGCGGCAUCCAAGACACGCGGUGGUGGUACAGCGCUGGUGAUGGGACUCGCUGCUUUUGGAUUAUACCAAGCUUUGUAAUGGGUUCAGUGCGCACGGAAACUUAUUAAGCAGGUUGCGGUAUCAACGAAGGGGUACGAUUGACGAUAGAAUUAACGACGGAGUACAAUUAACGAACGUUUAAACGGCAGUACCCGUCGUUAUUAACGAAACGAAGGGGGUAUCGUUUCGUUAAUAACGACGUUGAAAUUUAGUAAUGAACGACUGGGCCCAUAUAGACCAUUGAGCACGAAGAGUGCGCAGGCGAGACAGUGUACCCAGUGAAUUUCUGCCUGGGCAUUCAGUCCUGAGUUGCCCACUCGACUCGAAUUUUUCGAAAAUCACAACAGUACUGCUCGAAUGUUAGUGCUGCCAAUGGUCUCUUUAAACUUUUCACUUAUAUGGCUUACUUUUUACUUUAACUUUCACAAUUGUAAAAAUUAUUCCAUAUAAUAAAAUACAGUAAUUCGAGUAGUUUACUAUUGGAGUAGCAGUAUACGGAGACUGUACUGAGGCCUCUGAGAAACGAAGUCCUGUAUUCAAGAAUGGAAUAAGUGGAUAACACUGCUUUAGAAUAGUGUUUGCGUGAAAACGUUCAUACACGUGUUAACGCCACUGUUAACCUUAUGUUUUUCUACCACAAAAAAUCUUUAUUCUGUUACUUUCACGGUGCAACAUGAAAUCGUUUCGGUAUCGAUACAAAAAAUUGAAAAAUGACUGUCAAAACACAACAGUUCGCCACGCUAAUAUCUAUCGCUGUUAAUUGUUUAGUGCAUAACGCAAUCUCUUAUGCGAAUCACCGGAGCCUUAAAUUAACAACGCCAAAACUGUCGUUAAUUUUGCCGUUAAUCGUCCGGCCGUGCAAAACGCAACCUACUUAUUGUCGAAGUCUUUACUUUGUGAUUUACAGUAAUUGUAGGUCUGUAGCAAAAGUCAGUAGAAAUGCGAUAAUUUAUAUUCAUUGUAUGAACAAGCCAGAGCAGAGACACAUGAACUGUAUUUGAAGAUUCUGCUCCUUUGGCUUAACGCAAUAUUGUCACGGUUCAUGGAUGAAGUUUACGAAAUUAUUAAGACCGUAUGCCGCGAACAGCUGCGUUAGCCUGCGUGCAGUACAUACAGUACAUGGAUUUACACUACAUGCAUGCCGCUGCCUCGAAGCUACUCCAUACGAAUUUUCCUUCGUAACUUUUAUCAGACUUGAACCUCGACAAAGCUAACAGUAAAAGACAAUCGCUGCUUUCACUACAACAUAAGAACAAUUCUCACACCAGGUUACAAAACUACUGUUCCCAGUCUGUAUCGAUAAGAUUGGGAAUUUCCCACAGAUAAAUAAUCAGAAUGGCCUAGAUGGACUACAUUGACUGUAAAUGAAAACAAAGCCGGUGAGUCGCGAUGAUUGCAGACGUUACAAUCACUUAAAUUGUACCGGCUCGCUUGCAAUGCAUGUACUAAAAAUGGCGUUGGUUAUAUGGAUACCGAUACGGUUAUAUUAUAUGGAUACCGGAUCAUAUGCCUGGUUCAAUUUGUUUUAUACAGAGGGAGUGGGGAGGGAGUCGACAUUGAGGACGUCGACAUGGUGUCUCGAAUUCACCUUCGGCGAAUACGAAUGUCUGUAACAGGAAAGAUUUCAAGCACAGCCGUGGAAUUAGCGGCAUGACAGCUACAAUUGGUCGUUAAAGAACCAGAGCUGGCUGUGCGGUCUAUAAUCUCGUUUAGAACAAUUGUCGACGAGACGAUAAAGGUCACAGUCUGUAACAGAACGACUGCUGUAUGGAUGUCAUCAACCAAGUUUGGAUACAUCGACAAAUAAAAAAGAUGAAUUAUCACGCACCCCAGCGAGGAAACUGCGGGUAACAUGGAAUAUAUCCGCGCCGGAGAGCACUACUGGACGAUCGCGAACCAGCGUUAUAAAGUCGCCCAUGAACGAUUCCACCUAACCGCAAUAAGCCAAGAAGUAGUAUAACUGUGGUACAACAGUUUGUAAUACUGUUCUUGCCAGAUACUUCGGACUCUCAUAAAAUCUACUCCUAGGUGCGAAGGGCUCAUAAAAUCUGUUCCUGUGUACCUGAAGGGCAAAUGCCUCGGAAGUGGGGUCCAUCUGCUCCAUUGCACUGUGCAACGCUGAACCAAUAGCUUCACACUGAAACGAAAACCUUUUAAAGAAAAUAUUGGCUUGGCAUAUGGUAUCAUCCUCGUAUUACGUACAUUCCACAGAAUUAUAUUCAUAACAUUGCUUCUAUAAUCAUACAUGGUAAUUUUAAACGGGUUAAAUAGCAGUUUGGGCUUUGGGCUGUCCCAGCACACGUUGGAACUUUUUGUCAUUUUUGAUUUGCCAUAGCACAAGCAGUCAGCUGAUGCGCGCAUAAAGGCGGCCUU